ensembl:lncRNA
CUACGUUAUGUCUCAAUUUUCCUCUUUACAGCUUCUACACAUUUCUUUUGGAUUUGCCUUCUAAGGCCAAGCAGAAUGAAUAAUACCCUUUCUAUAUUACAGAUCUUGAAAUACUUGAAAACAUUUGUCAUCUUUCCCCUCAGUUUUUUCUUCUCCAAAUGAAACCUCUCCAAUGUGAGUCUUGAAAUUUCUCAGACUUAUGAAUGUUAAAGAAAAUUCCCCAUUGGGGAAUUCUCCAUUGGAACAAUUCCCUACUAGGACCAUUCCCCAUUUGGAAAGUGAGAACUCUACUUAAAUCAGAAAUGGGAAGACCUCUACUCCACAGGUACUUAAGACUGCUUUAGGGGAGAAAACUCCUUGCUGAACAAUGAAAAGUACUUAAACCCAUACUUAAGCCAUGCCUAUUUUUAGAAAGGGGUGCUAAGUACCUAUAAAAGGUCAGGCAACUUGUGAACUUACAAGGAGCAAAGAGGUGAAAACUUACUCAGAGCUUUCCUGAUGUUAAUUACUCAGAAGUUUUAGUCUACCCAGAAAAGGUGAGAGCAAGAUGUGAAUUAAGAAGGUGAUAACAAAAUGUGAAUUAAGAAUGGUCAGUCCUUUGGAAAACGUCUACUGUGAUUGGUAGAUGUAAGGACUUAGGGGAGGUGACAUAGGAGAAAUUGCCCUUUAAAUAGGAGCUCAGAUAGGCAGUCUAAAACAUUCAGAUUGAGGAUUGAGGUGGUGAAAGCAGCUGAGAUGAUGCUGGCCUGGUGUCACUAGAAUCCUUGCUUCGCAGAUCUUGUGAAGAUCAUGUUUUAGUUCAAAUUUAAAGGAAGACAGGGAAGACUAUUAGUAAAAAAGAGGAAGAAGAGAAUUCCAGACAUGGGGGACAGCCAUGGAAAAUACCCAAAGUGGAGAGAUGGAGUGUCUUAUUCAUGAAACAUCAAGAAGGCCAGUGUCACUGGGUCAACAAGAGUACAUGGGAGAAGACUCCAAGCUCUCUAUCCAAGGUUUAAGUCUUUCUCCAUCUAAAAUUAGAUACCCAAUGAACACACAUAAAGAAAGAAAAGAAACCCAUUUAUCCAAAUAACAGCAGAACAAAUAUCAAAGAAACCUUAGUUUGGAGAAUAUAUGCCAGACAAUACAAAGUAAAGUAGUUCUCUCACAGGGAGUGUGAUAAUUUAGCUCAACCAAGAGAAAGAAUCCCGCAUCUCACCUAAGAGAAAUACUCUCUAAAGUCUAGAGUAUCAAGCUGGGAAUAGAGACAUGUUGAAGACUAACUAUUCUUCUUUUCAUAUCUGCCCAGAGUCUUUUCCUUGAACAAUAUGAAAUGGGUUUGGCCUCCUCUGUUUUCUCUCUCAGAGGUAGACCCAAGACUGCCUGAUGAGAGUUUGAAUAGUCAAGAAGACAUAAGAAACUGGUGAAAGUUUGAGCUCUCUUGUCUUUCACCAACUCCACUCAAUCCCUCAUACAAGACAGGGCAUUCAUCUCCACCAAUAAUGAGAGAGUCCCAUACCAACAGACUUUGGGACAGGAAUUACACAAAGUGUAGUGGACCAGGCACUACAAAAAGUUCUCCCGUGGAUUUUAUCACCGGUGGAGGGGAGCUAAAGACUGAGGGGCAAUGGAUAAAGUUUAAGGACUAGAGAGGGAGAGACAUAGGUUGAACACACAGAAAAAGAACUUCAGCAUCAUGUCAGCAGGUCAACCACUGCGCUAUUUAUUAUAGGAUUUUUCAGCAUUGGAGGUUUUCAGGAUGACAGUCAAGCAAUUGAAACAACAAAAGUAUUAACAUGAUAUUAGCAUCCAGUUACAAAAUAAAGGAACAAGUAGCAACA